AGUCUUUCUUCAUGUGACUCGUGGACUUCCCUUUGUCAUCCUAUGCCUGAGAAUAUAUGAAGGAGGCUGGGAAGGCAAAGGGACGUUCAAUUGUCAUCUCUGGC
rnacentral:pre_miRNA from 12 species